CUCCUCAGGCCUCCUCCCUCCCUCAUUGUCUCCCCUAACACCGUCACCUUCCCCCUUCUGCCGUCUCAAGAAGGGAAUGCAGACCGUGGGAGAUGCGAAGGGGUGGCGUAGGCCGGGCUGAAGAGCAAGUGUGGAAAUCGGAGUGGAACCCUUGGACGUGGGGAGAAUGCAGGACAGCUGGAGUGAAAGCUGGCAAGAAUGUAAGGAAGAAUGUGGGGGCGAAUGGGGGGUAGGAUUCAGGUCAGGAUGGAAGGGUGUUCCCAUUCUCCUCUCCUCCUGCCUGUAUGAGCUGCUGUGGCGGAGUCUGAACUGUCCAUGCUCCCAUGGAGUCCAGCUCCAUGGGAGGAGGCACGUCUGUGUGUAGCUUUGUGGAGUCAUGGCUUUCUACUCCCGACACCAGCUGGGAGUCAAAGGGCUCGGAAGCAAGGAGCAGGUCGUGACCUUGUGAGAUGGAACCCCCCCCUCAGCGUGGACAGCACAGAGCCUGCUUGGGAUUCUCUCUCUCCUUCUGUCUCUGCCCCUCCCCUCCUCACGUGUUCUCUCU